UACGUAGGCAGCGAGCGUUGUUCGGAGUUACUGGGCGUAAAGAGUGCGUAGGCGGUUUUCUAAGUUUGGUGUGAAAUCUCCCGGCUCAACUGGGAGGGUGCGCCGAAGACUGGAAGGCUUGAGUAUGGGAGAGGUAAGCGGAAUUCCUGGUGUAGCGGUGAAAUGCAUAGAUAUCAGGAGGAACACCUGCGGUGUAGACGGCUUACUGGACCAUAACUGACGCUGAGGCACGAAAGCGUGGGUAGCAAACAGG
rnacentral:rRNA from 1 species